GAUCAUGGCUCAGAAUGAACGCUGGCGGACGUGCCUAACACAUGCAAGUCGAGCGAGAAAGUUCCUUCGGGAAUGAGUAAAGCGGCGGACGUUGAGUAACACGUGAGAAUCUACCCUUUAGUGAAGAAUACCUUCGAGAAAUCGAAAUUAAUACUGCAUAAGUCCCUUCGGGGAGAAAAGUGGCCUCUUUGCUACUGCUAAGGAUGAGCUUGCGGACUAUCAGCUAGUUGGUGAGGUAAAGGCUCACCAAGGCUAUGACGGUUAGCCGGCCUGAGAGGGUGAACGGCCAGACUGGAACUUAGACACGGUCCAGACUCCUACGGGAGGCAGCAGUGAGGAAUAUUGCGCAAUGGGCGAAAGCCUGACGCAGCGACGCCGCGUGGAGGAUGAAGGUUUUCGGAUCGUAAACUCCUGUUAAGUGGGAAGAAAAGUCUGUGGUUAAUACCCGCAGAAAAUGACGGUACCAUUAUAGAAAGCACCGGCUAACUGCGUG
rnacentral:rRNA from 1 species